UCAUAUGUAUAUGAUCUAAUCAUCAAAUCAACCUAUACUAAGGUCUAUGACAUGAUAUGUUGCAUAUAAAAUCUAAAAAAUACUGAAGAUAAAAUUAGCAUACAUGCAUGUGAGCAGUAGAUCACAUCUACUUCUAAUCUGAGUUUAGAACUCAAUACCUUUGAAUGGGUCGAUGAUCACCACUGCUGAAAGAUAUGAUAGAGAGGAUCUUUACUGAUUGCUUGUAGCCACACAUACAUCCGGCCUCUAUGAAAAAUUCACUCGAAGCCCCAA
rnacentral:lncRNA from 1 species